GCCUUCGGGGUGUAGUGGUCAGCACGCUCGACGAGUAACCGAGAGGUCCGCGGUUCGAUUCCCGGCGAUGGCG
rnacentral:tRNA from 1 species